AUCGAAACGUUGACGAGGAUUAGUAUAAUUUGUUUGUCUGUACAAGAGAGGGAAUGGCGCUGUGAAUUCCUACUGACACGAAUUAGAACCUGCCUCCUGAGUUCGCCAUUGGAAGGUUUAAACCGUAAAAUGAGCGCGGGUCAUGCCGUUAUACAUUUAAGUGUGCAUCAGUAGUAUGGAUGCAAACAAGGGUGGUACCACCAUAACCUCGGUCCCUUUU
rnacentral:ncRNA from 1 species